rnacentral:rRNA from 1 species
GACGAACGCUGGCGGCGUGCUUAACACAUGCAAGUCGAGCGGAGAGGCGAACGGGUGAGUAACGCGUGAGUAACUGGCCCCCGCCCUGGGAUAACAGUUGGAAACGGCUGCUAAUACCGGAUAGUGGGGGAUGACUCGCGGCCUAUCAGCUUGUUGGUGGGGUGGUGGCCUACCAAGGCGACGACGGGUAGACGGCCUGAGAGGGCGACCGGCUACAUUGGUCUGAGAUACGACCCAAACUCCUACGGGAGGCAGCAGUGGGGAGUAUUGCACAAUGAGGGAAACCGUGAUGCAGCGACGCCGCGUGCGGGAUGACGGCCUUCGGGGUGUAAACCGCUUUCAGCCAUUACGCGGUAGUGGCAGAAGAAGCACCGGCUAACUACGUGCCAGCAGCCGCGGUAAUAC